CACUUUUCAGAAAAUUUAAACUUCCGUCUUCUUAUCAAGGCUUAAGUAAGCUGUUUACACCUGAUUCGAUCUGACAUCUGUUACCACACUAAAACACAUAAGUUCAGUGAAUUUAUUCGACGCAGACAUAACGGACGGCAAUGAACAGAGGCGUAAAGAUUAUCCAGCUAUGGAGGUAUCCGCCGGAGCGAAAGGCCAUUCGCACCGACAAUCGGGUCGGAGACGUGAAUAUAGGCCAAGCAGACAAGUUGAUAUGGGCUACAGAUGCAGUCAUUUCGUGUGCGUCAAAAUUGGAGACCAGUCGCUGAAAAGGGAGUUGGAGAGAAUGCAAGAUUUGAUUGUAGACCGGUACCCUGACUACGACACCUUCAGGAUCCCGAGUAGGAGCUUCCAUAUAACCGUUGUUGACAUAAUGUCACUGCGGGGCGAGAGCGACAUGAAGCGUUAGGUAUGGUUGCUGGACUUCUAUCAGGAAUACAUUUCGUAUAUUAUGGGCCGUUGUGCAAAUCUGGAAAUACAAGGACUCGGCUCAUUUGGUGAUAAAAUCAUAUUUGCGAAGGUGAAUAUACCGUAUGUUUUUAAUACAAUGAGAGACGAUAUAAUUGGGCUUAUGGGCCUAUCGGAUGACAAAAUAAGUUGUGAGAAUAAACGAGCAUACGCGCCUCAUGUGACUCUAUUUAAAGUACCAGAAUCCGCCGCAUUGAAUCCCAGAGGGAGUCUGAACCUGAGGGACUUUUCAAAUUCCUACUUCGGUCACCAGCCUGUGGAUAAUUUGCAGUUGUGUCAAAUUGGCGAGCCACUACACGGAAUUUACAAAAAUAUAUGGGGUAUUGGAUGUAAAUAUACAUUCGUUUAUUUGGCAUUUGUUAAAAGUGAUAAUAAAGUAUCACGCUUAAAUUUCUGCUUGAACAUUAUCUACAUGAUUUUACUUAUUUUGAAAGCAUUUAUGCAAGAAAUUUUAUUCGUUUGUUUGCAUGUAUGGCAAGCGGUUUGACGUAUAAUCCCAAGAAACUAGGUUUCUCAUGAGAACCUAGGUUCUCAGAAUGAGAACCUAAGUUCUCAGAACCUAGGUUCUCAUGAGAAACCUAGUUUCUUGGGAUUAUGCGUCGAACCGCUGGCCAUAAUUAACCUCCAGUUUUCUCCCAUUGCUUGGUACACGCUGGCGGCAUAUGUGUAAAAUGAAUAGAAUAGGCGUGAAACCGUGAAUGCUUCUCUCCAAGAGCAUUUCCUGAACAAUGUUCAGACAAUGCUCAGUAAUAUUCUACGAAACUUAUCUGUUGAAUAUUUGUGACAACAGGCAUUAGCCGUCGGUGACCGCCUCUUGUUCAUUUUCCGUGCAUGGGUGGUCUUGAGGAAUGAAAUUAGUAAAGUAAUCGGUCGACAUUGGGUUGAACACGUUAAUAAAAAAUUGAACUUUUUAUGAAAUACAUCUUUAAUUGUAAAUAUUACUUUGAGACUAAAAAUUCAGAUCAAUCGUUACAUAAAACAUUGUUACAUCAUUAAAUGAGUUUCAAAUAUUCAGUUCCCUUGUUCGGGCCUCAAACGACUGUACGGUACAGUUUUCUAUUUUAAGUAUGUAUGUGACCUACAUGUAGGAAGCAAUCAUUAUGCUAUAAAAUACAAGUUUUAUCUCUAUUGAUUAUGUGUAAUAAUGUAUUAUUCAAUCGUAAGAUAACGGCAACACUGCAAGAAAAACUUAUGCGCUAAAGACUUUGCAAACAUAUUUCAAUAACUUGAGAUAUCUGCAAAAAUAAAGUUCUUAACGGCGUGUUUUCAUUCUGUCCAGCCCGUGUGUAAUCAUAUGUGAACCCCAUUGAUCCUGCGCCCUGAGCAAUAUGUGUCCCGUAUUCCAAACGAGCAAGUUUACGCCGUCCGACGCGUAGUUCUGAAAACCUAGGUUCUCUGAAAACCUAGGUUCUCAAAGAACCUAGGUUCUCAGAGAACCUAGGUUCUAUGAGAACCUAGGUUUUCAAAGAACCUAGGUUCUCAUGAGAACCUAGGUUCUAUGAGAACCUUGGUUCUCAUAAUGAGAACCUAGGUUCUCAGAGAACCUAUGGUUCCCAAAUGAAAACCACGGAUAUGGCCAGCAGUUCGACGCAUAAUCCCAAGAAACUAGGUUUUUCAUGAGAACCUAGGUUCUCAUUCUGAGAACCUAGGUUCUCAUGAAAACCUAGCUUUUCAAACGAGAACCUAGGUUCUCAUGAGAACCUAGGUUUUCAAAUGAGAACCUAGGUUCUCAUGGAAACCUAGGUUCUCAUUUGAAAACUUGGGUUCUUGACGCCAUGUGCAAUCUUCAAGCGAGAACCUAGGUUCUCAUUCUGAGAACUUAGGUUUUCAUUCUGAGAACCUAGGUUCUCAUGAGAAACCUAGUUUCUUGGGAUUAUGCGUCGAACCGCUUGCCAUACAUAUGCAUGCGUCUAGACAACUGUUAGAUCCGUACAGAACUUUCUACACGAGUCGAUCUAACCUUUUUCCUAAUCAAAAGUGAAGGCUUCCAUGACACUAGGGGUCAGUGGUUCGAGCCCUGUGGAGGUUAACGUUUUUUCUUCUUUUUUAAAAUUGUAUUCUUAUUUUUUACUGGAGAUUUUUAGUUCAAAUGUUUAAAUUUAUCAAUAUAAAGCAUUUAAAGCAGUUAAUGACAAGCUUUAAUACAUGCCAAAAUCUGUUUGACGGCCCCUUUAAGCUAACUUUAAAACAGUCGCGUUUGGUUUUUAAAGCAAUUGGUAUCAGCUAUAUUUUAUUAAAAGGACUUGGCAAUAUAACACCAUCGAUAGUGCUUAUCAUUGUUAUUUACUGAAUGUCGUGUUUUGUUGUUGCAUUUCAUAACGAGUCGUAAAUUGACUAUAGCGACGUGGUAGUGUCUGCCUGAUUUGGAACCGGGAGGUCCCGGGUUCGAGCCCCAUGGUGGUCGGGGAUAUUUUGUUUUAUUUCAGAAACGCUGGUGAUAAACACGUUGUCAUCAUAUUAUAUUUGAUGUACUUAUUCUGACGCAAAAUUUUGUUUCGGAAUGUUAAAUAAUAGAUGCAUGUACAUUUAGAUGCAUUAUUGUUUUUAUUUUAAUGUGUUUUAUCUUUCAGUGAUGAACUGAGAAAAGCUGGAUAAUUAUUAUGUCCUUAUGUUUUUAUUUUUAUUUUACUGCAUUAAAAAAUGAAUGCAGAUAAUGUAUUGAUUAUUUUCAGUACAUGAUAUAUAUCUUUUUGGCUGUAAAUUAUAUAUUGUGGAAUGUAUAAGUGAUUUUGAUAUGGAUAGUUGGAAGUAGUGGUAUGAAGUAUUUCAUGUAUAUGUGUAUUAUUAUGUGUGUAGUUACAUACACAUGUAGUUAAAAAAGUCGAGACGCCUUUUAGGAGGAGGGGGAGAAUGUUACCAGGUGAACUUUUAGUGUAGUGUAACCUGAAUUGUACCGAAAGUAUGUACAGUUAUAAGAAUAGCUCUUUUCGGCGGAAGUUGGUUAGCUUGCUGAUAGGAAUGUAGUCUUUUCGAUUUUAGAAUCUCAUCGGGAAAUAUCUUUGUCAUCUAUUGGCAUAUCAUUUAUCUAUACUUUAAAUAAGGAACAUGGAUAUAUAAGGUAUGCUGUCAGAUUGUUAGUUGUGUUGCUAAUGUUGGAAACUCGGGUGAAUUUGCUAUUUGACUUUAUGCCGGUGCCAUUUUUAAAUCUUAGAAUAUUAAUGUAAAACAGGCUUUCACAAAACUAACGAUUAUAUACACUUUUCGCAUGCUAACAACAUGACAUUGUUACAGCAGUCACUGUUCAUAACAAGAGAGAAAAAAGUUCGAAGGCGUCGGUGCGAAAGAGUCUAAAGUACCACAUACUCUGACGAGGAAAGACAGGACUAUGAAUCUAACUUGGCAUGUUAUGAUGUGAAAUAUUAAUGAAUACUGGUUUCCCAAUCAUUAAAUAAUAGAAAAGUGAACUCAUGAUUUGAUUUUCAAUUAUGUUGAUAAAUAAGUAAAACCCCAAGAGUUACAUGACGAGUGUGAUGUUAGUGAUCGCUUAUAUACGCCUUACAACCAGAUGUACUGCGCCGUCAGCACAGGCAUCAAAGAUACAUGCAAAUUUGUAAUGCUUUAUUUUCAGACAUACAAAAAUUGUGUUGAAAGCUGUAUUGACUGUAAUUUGUUUUAUGUAAACUUAUGUAAUCUUACCAUUGUUAUCAAUACACUUCAUACAAAUUGUGCCCGAAUGUUUAGUAUUGUUAAACAGGCAGUGCGCUUUUACCUUUGUGAUUAAAAUUAAUUGUUAUAAAUGCAUCAAAACUAAUAAAACACUCAUCCGCUCCAAAACGUUUGGUGUCGUCGCAAAUAUUUGGAACCGAUCGGGUUCGUGGAAACCAACAACUUUUUAUGUUACGCUUAUGAACAUGCGUAUAAAUCUUUAUCUAAAUACCUUUGAUCAAUAUAUUUACAGUACCGACGUCCGUGGGAUUUUAUAUAUUGUUGACAAUACAAGUGUUUACGAUUUAUGUUCUUUGCCACUUGAAAUAUCGGGCUAGAUCUUGAAGUUUACAAGGGACACAUAAACUAUCUCCUUGGUCGACAUCAUGUACACGCACGUGGCAUACUGCUCUAGUCUACGGUGGCUCAGAUUUGGAAUCGUGUUAUUUUAAUUACUUCGUUACCACAACUAAAUAUCUCGUUUUCUACUUAAAAAGUCGUAUGAACGAUAUUGUAUAUAUGCCUACUAUUUGUAAACACUGAUGCCAAAGUUUGUAUUAAUUGGGCUGUUGGCCUACUUGAUAUUUAUUUAUUAUAAAUCAUGCUUCAUAUGUUCCCUGUUCAUAUUAAUCUUUUUGUGGAGACAAAUAGCAACAGAUCGCAAAUUUUGAUGUUGAUGAAAACAGUUUGUGCUAUAAAACAUUGGAGAGAUUAUGCUUUAAAUUAGAAAUACCCCUCCACAUACGUCACUACUUUGCUGCCUGAUUGUAACAAAUUUUCCGGCAUUAUGAUGAUAAUAACGUCAUCGAAAAGGUGCCAGAUUCCUGUACUAGAAUUUCCGUGCAUCAUUACUUUAAUCAUAAUGAAGAUAGCACUGAUACUACAACACAUUUAUUAGAUUAUUCUGAAUCGUAAGUCUGGAUUUAUUUGUUAAUAUAUGCCACAGACACCUGUAGAAUGAUACUAAACAACGCGAAGAAUGUGUUAGUUCUUAAGCGCCGAGUUGUCAGUGGCAAUAGAAAUAAUAAAUAAAUGAUCAUCUGUAAUAGCCAAUAUGCACACAUGCUUUACAUACUCAUAUGGUCCAAGUUGUUACCAGCUUUAUUUCAUUUGAAGAAAUGUCGCAAUUGAAUCGUUUAAUUAUUACGAUAUCGGGUUAAUAGGGAUUUGGAAUUUAUGAAUUGUGUCAUUGUUAUCAAAUGUAAUUUUUUCAUGUAUUAAAUGUAUUCAAAAUUUCAUCUCAAUAUUAAAUUUCAUGUAAUUGCCAACAUUACGCUUGUAUGUAUAUAUUUCUUAUAGAUUGUUACACAAUGCAUGGUCUCGCUAAAAUUGUUUUGUACCACCUAACUAGUGUCAUCAUAGUGCGAUUUGCCUCGAUAACUACAUAGACAGGUGAAAAUUAAUAUUAUCAGACGAAAGUAUGCAUUAGUGAGAACACACAGUGGAGAGGUAGAACAGAUUUAUUUAAUCUAUAAUAAAAUAUAAGAACGAAACCAUAGUAUACGUUUGCUUAAUGUAUCAAUGCCUCGCAGAGUAAGUAUUAUGUACGAUUUAUACUUGUACACGCCCCACUUGCUCGAGCUGUCAGAUAGAUCUGUUUCGAAUGGAGUUGCUCGCAGAUAUUCUAUGGCGUGAUAGGCAUGUUAAUGCUUGAUAUCUUGUAUAUUGUGUCAUGUUUGUACAAAAAUCAAGCGAAUUUAUUACAGUCAUUAGCAUAAAACAACCUGGCCUGUGAUAUUUUAAUGUGGCAAUAAAGUAAUGGCAGAGAGGUAUCAAUACUUAGAUUUUCGUUUGGAUGUUUGCUAUAAAAUUUGUUAAGUUUUA